UACGUAGGGUGCAAGCGUUGUCCGGAUUUAUUGGGCGUAAAGAGCUCGUAGGCGGCUUGUCGCGUCGACUGUGAAAUCCCGCGGCUCAACUGCGGGUCUGCAGUCGAUACGGGCAGGCUAGAGUUCGGUAGGGGAGACUGGAAUUCCUGGUGUAGCGGUGAAAUGCGCAGAUAUCAGGAGGAACACCGGUGGCGAAGGCGGGUCUCUGGGCCGAUACUGACGCUGAGGAGCGAAAGCGUGGGGAGCGAACAGG
rnacentral:rRNA from 1 species